UACGAAGGAUUCGAGCGUUAUCCGGAUUUAUUGGGUUUAAAGGGUGCGUAGGUGGACUAAUAAGUCAGUGGUGAAAGCCCGCAGCUUAACUGCGGAACUGCCAUUGAUACUGUUAGUCUUGAGUACAGUUGAGGUAGGCGGAAUGUGUCAUGUAGCGGUGAAAUGCUUAGAUAUGACACAGAACACCGAUUGCGAAGGCAGCUCACUAAGCUGUAACUGACACUGAGGCACGAAAGCGUGGGGAGCAAACAGG
rnacentral:rRNA from 1 species